rnacentral:rRNA from 1 species
UACGUAGGGUGCGAGCGUUGCCCGGAUUUAUUGGGCGUAAAGGGCGCGUAGGCGGCCACGCACGCCCGUUGUGAAAUCGCCCGGCUCAACUGGGCGGGGUCAGCGGAUACGGUGUGGCUAGAGCAAGCUAGGGGGCAAUGGAAUUCCCGGUGUAGUGGUGGAAUGCGUAGAUAUCGGGAGGAACACCGAUGGCGAAGGCAGGUCUCUGGGCCACUACUGACGCUGAGAAGCGAAAGCAUGGGGAGCGAACAGG